rnacentral:tRNA from 1 species
GGAGGGGUGGCCGAGUCUGGUUUAAGGCACCGGUCUUGAAAACCGGCGACCCGCAAGGGUCCGCGAGUUCGAAUCUCGCCCCCUCCGCCA